rnacentral:rRNA from 1 species
ACGGCUACCUUGUUACGACUUAGCCCCAGUCACCAGUUUUACCUUAGGGCGCUCCUUGCGGUUGCACACUUCAGGCACUCCCGGCUUCCAUGGCUUGACGGGCGGUGUGUACAAGGCCCGGGAACGUAUUCACCGCGCCAUGGCUGAUGCGCGAUUACUAGCGAAUCCAGCUUCAUGGAGUCGAGUUGCAGACUCCAAUCCGAACUGAGACAGGCUUUCAAGUUCCGCUUUGCGUCGCCGCAUUGCUUCUCUCUGUACCUGCCAUUGUAACACGUGUGUCGCCCCGGACGUAAGGGCCGUGCUGAUUUGACGUCAUCCCCGCCUUCCUCACAGCUUGCGCCGGCAGUCUCGCCAGAGUCCCCAACUUGACUUGCUGGUAACUGGCGAUGGGGGUUGCGCUCGUUAUGGCACUUAAGCCGACACCUCACGGCACGAGCUGACGACAACCAUGCAGCACCUCGACACAGGCUCCGAAGAGCUACCUCCUUUCAAAAGUAUUCCUGUGUCGUUUGAGCCCGGGUAAGGUUCCUCGCGUAUCAUCGAAUUAAACCACAUGUUCCUCCGCUUGUGCGGGCCCCCGUCAAUUCCUUUGAGUUUCACCGUUGCCGGCGUACUCCCC